rnacentral:rRNA from 1 species
AUUCUGGCUCAGGAUGAACGCUGGCGGCGUGCUUAACACAUGCAAGUCGAACGGGAUCCAUCAAGCUUGCUUGGUGGUGAGAGUGGCGAACGGGUGAGUAAUGCGUGACCGACCUGCCCCAUACACCGGAAUAGCUCCUGGAAACGGGUGGUAAUGCCGGAUGCUCCAGUUGACCGCAUGGUCCUCUGGGAAAGCUUUUGCGGUAUGGGAUGGGGUCGCGUCCUAUCAGCUUGAUGGCGGGGUAACGGCCCACCAUGGCUUCGACGGGUAGCCGGCCUGAGAGGGCGACCGGCCACAUUGGGACUGAGAUACGGCCCAGACUCCUACGGGAGGCAGCAGUGGGGAAUAUUGCACAAUGGGCGCAAGCCUGAUGCAGCGACGCCGCGUGAGGGAUGGAGGCCUUCGGGUUGUAAACCUCUUUUGUUAGGGAGCAAGGCAUUUUUUGUUGAGUGUACCUUUCGAAUAAGCACCGGCUAACUACGUGCCAGCAGCCGCGGUAAUACGUAGGGUGCAAGCGUUAUCCGGAAUUAUUGGGCGUAAAGGGCUCGUAGGCGGUUCGUCGCGUCCGGUGUGAAAGUCCAUCGCUUAACGGUGGAUCCGCGCCGGGUACGGGCGGGCUUGAGUGCGGUAGGGGAGACUGGAAUUCCCGGUGUAACGGUGGAAUGUGUAGAUAUCGGGAAGAACACCAAUGGCGAAGGCAGGUCUCUGGGCCGUUACUGACGCUGAGGAGCGAAAGCGUGGGGAGCGAACAGGAUUAGAUACCCUGGUAGUCCACGCCGUAAACGGUGGAUGCUGGAUGUGGGGCCCGUUCCACGGGUUCCGUGUCGGAGCUAACGCGUUAAGCAUCCCGCCUGGGGAGUACGGCCGCAAGGCUAAAACUCAAAGAAAUUGACGGGGGCCCGCACAAGCGGCGGAGCAUGCGGAUUAAUUCGAUGCAACGCGAAGAACCUUACCUGGGCUUGACAUGUUCCCGACGAUCCCAGAGAUGGGGUCUCCCUUCGGGGCGGGUUCACAGGUGGUGCAUGGUCGUCGUCAGCUCGUGUCGUGAGAUGUUGGGUUAAGUCCCGCAACGAGCGCAACCCU